AGCAGUCGCCGCGGGAAUACGAAGGGUGCAAGCGUUACUCGGAAUUACUGGGCGUAAAGCGUGCGUAGGUGGUGGUUUAAGUCCGUUGUGAAAGCCCUGGGCUCAACCUGGGAAUUGCAGUGGAUACUGGGUCACUAGAGUGUGGUAGAGGAUAGUGGAAUUUCCGGUGUAGCAGUGAAAUGCGUAGAGAUCGGAAGGAACAUCUGUGGCGAAGGCGACUAUCUGGGCCAACACUGACACUGAGGCACGAAAGCGUGGGGAGCAAACAGGAUUAGAUACCCGGGUAGUCCCUGUCUCUUAUAC
rnacentral:rRNA from 1 species